rnacentral:rRNA from 1 species
CACGUAGGGGACGAGCGUUGUCCGGAAUUAUUGGGCGUAAAGAGCUCGUAGGCGGUGUGUCGCGUCGGCCGUGAAACCUGCAGCUUAACUGUGGCUUGCGGUCGAUACGGGCAUCACUGGAGUUCGGCAGGGGAGACUGGAAUUCCUGGUGUAGCGGUGAAAUGCGCAGAUAUCGAGGAGGAACACCGGUGGCGAAGGCAGCACUCUGGGACGGUACUGACGCUGAGACGCGAAAGCGUGGGAGCGAACAGG